CUAACAUCUGUGCCAAUCUUCCUCUAUUUUUUUGUAUGUGGGAUACCACCACAGCAUGGCUUGAUGAGCGGUGUGUAGGUCUGCUCCCAGGAUCCAAACCCGCAAACCCUGGGGUGCUGAAGCAGAGCGCAUGAACUUAACCACUAUGUCACCAGGCCGGCCUUGGAUUUUUUUCAACUCUAUGUUAAAGAAUUCCUGAGAAGUCUCUUUCAGUUAAGUUAAAGCCCAAGGAUGAAUAACAAAGCAGAAAUCAGUCUAUGACACUGGCCUUCGCCUUUCUUUCUCCCAUCUCUCUGCCAGUAGAAAUGUGUCUUUCGUGAUGAGGAAACUGAGGAUAAAGAAGGUGAAAUAACAUGCCUGAGUUCACACUGAAUUAGAAAUAGAAUCCAGGUCUCCUGACUUCUUAGAUGAUUGUCAACUCCCCCCACACCCUCAAGUAAACCAGUAUCUACCCUGAACCCUUUCCCACUGGAGAAGGAGAUGGGGGAAGAUUCAAGAAUGAACUCUAUUGGUCUAUAUUGUUUGGAUGAUUCAUGGAAAUCUCCUUGGAAAGAAUGAUAAAAUCAGAUUGAAGUAAUGGCUGCGCUUCACAACUUUCAGGUACAUAGGAAUCACCUGGAGAUUUUGUUAAAAUGCACAUUCUGAUUCAGCUGUUUUGGGCUGGGGACUGAGAUUCAAGUUUCUAACAAGCUUCCUGAGGAUGCUGAUGCUGUUGGUCCAUAGACCACGCUUUGAGUAGCAAGGAGUUCAGAGACCAUUCUUGACUCUGCCACUUACUCACUUUGUGAACUAUGGUUAUUAAUUAUAGUAAGGGACAUAUUACACUUGGAUUCACAUUAAAGUCUCUACAGAUCUUUACAUGGGAUCCUUACAAAUAUAAGGCCAGUAUUUAUCUGCAAUUUUAGAGAGACGGAAAGGUUAAGUGACCUGCCAAUAUCACACAGCUAGUGGGUGGCCAAGCCAGAUCUCAGGCUUCAAGCUUAGUGCUUAUACUGUCAUACCACACUACUUCUCUUUCCUUGAUUUCCCUCCUCAAUGAAAUUGGAAUACAGACUUUACAGUGCUGUUAGAAUGCAGAGAGGGUUUGGUCAAACAACUAAAAAACUAUAUAUUGGUGAGCUAUAGAAUCACAAAUAUGAAUAUCUACAAUCCUGCAUAUAAUUUGGAAAUUAUAACUAAGUAAAAAUUGAGUCAUUUUUGCCCUUAUUUUAAUAAAGAAUUAAAUCCAUGCCCAGCUAGUUUGAAAGGGAUACAAGUCUUCUCAAAGGAAGCCAGCUGCUGAGCUGGAGAAUGUAGACUCAGCCACGUGAUUUCCAGCAGCACUGAUGCAGGCACAGCUGGGGUCAUCUCUGUUCACGUCUCAUUUGUGGUCUGGGCUGGUGAACAUUUAACCUGCAUCUUUUAAGCUUCAGUUCAUGCUAUAUUCUUCAUUUCACCACCUAAUUUUCUUUAUGUGAUGAAACUUGACCCAUCUCUCUUCCAUGCAGUGUGCUGCUGCCAUCAGGGCCUGGGAAAUGAUAUACUUGCCAGGACAUUGCUUAGAGAUCAAGAUGGCACAGAGGGUUAUGGGACCUUUGAGAAGGGGCAAGGACUGUAACUCUCUCUUUCUGAUAGGAGAACAAUUUAAAUCUGGUUUUAGUCACAAGCAAUGUCAAUUUGGCUAAUUCAGCUUUGUUCCUAUUGAUUAUUUGCCCACAAGUAAAAUUUCAAUAGUGUAUGUGUAUGUGUGUUAAGGACUUGUGUGGGUGGGAUAGGGUAGAAAUGAAUCACCAGAAAAAGACACAGAUGCAUCAUUGCAGGCCUCACAGAGGGGAAGAGAAAGAAACAGUGGUAGGGACACCUUGUUUAUUACUGAAGUGCAUGAAACUUCUCAAUGGAAAACUUUUCACGUCUAACAUUGUGCUAUAGAUUGGCCCUGAGGAUUGAUUUAUUAAUAUCUGGAAUUCUGUGCAUUUGACAGGCUAAUGGCAACACUAUUUUCUUAGGCCUGUGGUGCUAGAGCUACAUUAUAAUGACUUUGCCAGGCAGCUCUGAAGAAUAGCUGGAAGACCACGUGGGAAUGGAAUGAAGGCCAAAUCCCAGUAGUCCAGUUGGGAGACUCCUAUGAAUGCAAGGUCAGAGCCUCUCAACCUAACCACAGAGCUUUCUUUACUGCUGUAGACACCAGCUAAAAUCAAGAGGAUUCCAGAUUAGCUUUGCUAUACUUUUUUGUUUUCCCAUUAUUAUUGUUAUUACUGUUUUGUCUGUAAUUAUCUUGUCCUUGUUAGGAGUCAAUGAGAUCUAGGACAGAUCUGGGAUAUGGCCAUGUGCUCCACUGGAGUAAAGGACCUGUAUUUGUCAUUUAUUGCUGCAUAAAAAUAUUAGCAGCUUAAAACAAUGUACACUUAGGUCAUAGUUUCUGUGAGUCAGGGAUCCGAAUGCAGCUUAACUGGGUCAUCUGAUUUAGUUU